GAUGAACGCUGGCGGCGUGCCUAAUACAUGCAAGUCGAGCGAACGGACGAGAAGCUUGCUUCUCUGAUGUUAGCGGCGGACGGGUGAGUAACACGUGGAUAACCUACCUAUAAGACUGGGAUAACUUCGGGAAACCGUAGCUAAUACCGGAUAAUAUUUUGAACCGCAUGGUUCAAAAGUGAAAGACGGUCUUGCUGUCACUUAUAGAUGGAUCCGCGCUGCAUUAGCUAGUUGGUAAGGUAACGGCUUACCAAGGCAACGAUGCAUAGCCGACCUGAGAGGGUGAUCGGCCACAGUGGAACUGAGACACGGUCCAGACUCCUACGGGAGGCAGCAGUAGGGAAUCUUCCGCAAUGGGCGAAAGCCUGACGGAGCAACGCCGCGUGAGUGAUGAAGGUCUUCGGAUCGUAAAACUCUGUUAUUAGGGAAGAACAUAUGUGUAAGUAACUGUGCACAUCUUGACGGUACCUAAUCAGAAAGCCACGGCUAACUACGUG
rnacentral:rRNA from 1 species